UACAGAGGGGGCAAGCGUUGUUCGGAAUUACUGGGCGUAAAGGGCGCGUAGGCGGCCUUCUAAGUCGAACGUGAAAUCCCCGGGCUCAACCCGGGAACUGCGUCCGAGACUGAAAGGCUUGAAUCCGGGAGAGGGAUGUGGAAUUCCAGGUGUAGCGGUGAAAUGCGCAGAUAUCAGGAAGAACACCAAUGGCGAAAGCAGCUCUCUGGGACGGUACUGACGCUGAGACGCGAAAGCGUGGGGAGCGAACAGG
rnacentral:rRNA from 1 species